rnacentral:rRNA from 1 species
AGAGCGAACGCUGGCGGCAGGCCUAAUACAUGCAAGUCGAACGGACCCUUCGGGGUUAGUGGCGGACGGGUGAGUAACACGUGGGAACGUGCCCUUUGGUUCGGAACAACUCAGGGAAACUUGAGCUAAUACCGAAUGUGCCCUUCGGGGGAAAGAUUUAUCGCCAUUGGAGCGGCCCGCGUCUGAUUAGCUAGUUGGUGAGGUAAAGGCUCACCAAGGCGACGAUUCAGUAGCUGGUCUGAGAGGAUGAUCAGCCACACUGGGACUGAGACACGGCCCAGACUCCUACGGGAGGCAGCAGUAGGGAAUCUUGCGCAAUGGGCGAAAGCCUGACGCAGCCAUGCCGCGUGAAUGAUGAAGGUCUUAGGAUUGUAAAAUUCUUUCAGCGGGGACGAUAAUGACGGUACCCGCAGAAGAAGCCCCGGCUAACUCGUGCCAGCAGCCGC